GACCGAUAGUGAACCAGUACCGUGAGGGAAAGGCGAAAAGAACCCCGGCGAGGGGAGUGAAAAAGAACCUGAAACCGUGUACGUACAAGCAGUGGGAGCCCCACCACUAAGCCAGUGGUGAACUCCACAUACGCAUCCUUUGCUGAGGAUACGGUUAACGGAGCGAAAGCGACGUUCAACCUCAAAAGAAGCAGAGGGGGCUUAGUGGUGGGGUGACUGCGUACCUUUUGUAUAAUGGGUCAGCGACUUAUAUUCUGUAGCAAGGUUAACCGAAUAGGGGAGCCGGAGGGAAACCGAGUCUUAAUUGGGCG
rnacentral:rRNA from 2 species